rnacentral:tRNA from 1 species
GGGUAUAGCUCAGUGGUAGAGUGUGUGCUUAGCAUACAUGAGGUCCUGGGUUCAGUCCCCAGUACCUCCA